AGGUGAGCGCCAAUACGCGCACGUACGCGGAAAGGGGAACCGCCCAUGCGCACAUAAAGGUCCUCACUCUCGCAUACGGGCUCGGCCGGCUGCUGAGAGGCAGCGCCGGCAUCCGCGUUGCGGCAAGCCUCCUGCUGUGCUGAUUGCCGGCGCGCCUGGAGCGCUGGCGGCGGCGGCGGCGUACAUUUGAUGGUGCCGCCCCCCUCCCCCUUCCUCCCUCCCCUUCCCGGGCAGCGCCGUCACCGGGCCUACGGCACGGCGCGGUUGCCGAGGUGAUGGGCAAUGCGACCUGGCCGCUGGUGGUGGGCACUGACGGAGGGGAGCUCUGUGUGGCACCUGAGCGCAUUGUGUUGCGGGGGCCGCCGAGGAAGCUGCACCACACCGCGAGGCUGCUGGAGCGUGCGAGCUGGCUGCGCUGCUGCGCGCACGGCCCGCGCGCCGUGGAGGCCGUGGCGCUUAUCCCGAUUAGCCGGUGCUGGCGCGGGGGUGGGCGUGAACCACGGACCGCCACCGAGACCCCUCCAAGGCCGCCCGGUGGUGUGAGGGCGUGUGUGUGUGCUCGCGACGGCCGCCCUCGCCGGUGGCUGUGGCGGGUGCAAGAGUGCGCUGUGCCGCAGCGCGGUGCGCGUGGAGGGCGGGCCGCUCGCGCACGUCGGCGUCCACGGCGCGGAGGGCAGGCUGCGCUGCGUCGUCGAGGCGCUCUGCGUGAAGCGGGGGCGCGAGGUGUGCGGCGACGCUGUGGCGCUGGCGUGUGCGACCGUCGUCUGUGCCAUCUCACCGUGGAGGGGUGCCCAUCGCGUCGCUCAGCAUGGCCCUCGGUGGUAGCUGUCGUUAUGUGUGGUCUGCUGGUGAGUGAAGUUUUAUGGCAGAAAUUUAUGCUGAUUCGAUGGUGUGAUCGUGCACAGAAAGCGAGAAAAUAGUAAAAUAGCUUGUGGUGAAGGUAGAAGAAGGGUAAACGGUCGGGAGCACCGGAAUUAUAUCGGUGCUGUUAAGCAGAAGACAUAUCUGUAUGCAAGGUGCAUGCGUGGAAGGAAGCACUGUAGUGGCUCGAAAAUGAACGUGAUGUGUGUGUAUCCGCCGUUGGCGCUGCGGAGACAUUGAGGCGAUGGAGACAAAGAGGCGAACUCGUUCAAUGGCGUCGAUAGGCAUUUCUAGCAUUUUUCUUGUUGGUCUGUUCUCUCUCUUGCUGCGACGUCAGCUCGUAUUUGUCUACACACGUGUCGAUGUGCUGAGUUGAAAUUCCGCAAACGAUUUGAAAGAACGAACGGGUGGAUGUGCUCACAGGUGAAUUAGGCGGCAUACGCACACACACAAAGAAAAGGUCAUACACAGAAAUGGAUAUGUAUAUGUAUAUACAUGUAUGUAUGUAUGCGGAUUCAAGGAAGUGGUGGGGGUCGGUGCAAAAAGCAAUGCUGUGAUUGUCGCGUGUUGGUAUCUUCUGAAGGCCGACGCACCUCUGUGUGUGUUUUUUUUAUCUUCUUCCCCACUCUUUUCUCUUCCUUAUCUCCGUGGGCGUUGCUGUGGGUGUUUUCUUCUCAUGUUCUCUCCACUCUGUAGUUAGCCAACUUUCUUGGAAUCUGCCGUUAUGGUCUCCAUAUUUGCGGUGGUAUCGUUCACCGCUCUCUCCUCCGUGUUUGUGUGACGUGUCUCUCUCUUGACUCUUGGCGUGCACUCUCUUCACGUAGUGUGCUUCUGUGUGUGUCUUGGUUUUAUUUUAGUUUUUCUUCUUCCGCUUGUUUUCACGUGUGUCCACCGCAAGACUCCACCGCGAUGCAGGUUUUAUCUGACGGAAAAAAAGG
rnacentral:misc_RNA from 1 species